CUUUGGGUGCCAGUAGGGAUACUCAGCUGAGAUUUGCAUGUGGUGGAAUUAUAUUUCCUCAUUCCCAAAUGUUUGAAUGAGACCAUGUGAUACUGUGGCCAAUGAGUUUUGAGUGGAGGUGUGACAGAUCACUGACAUUCUAGAAUAUUUAAGGGCUGGUACAAAGCCUUUCUGGCUCUCUUUUUUCUGACUUGGCAACCAGCAAGAUGGCGUCUGUUCUCAGCCUGGGCCCUUGGGGAACUUGAUGGCCAGAAUCCCUUGCUGAUCCUUUCAGUACAUAACGAGAAGAAAUUAAUCUUAAUUGUUUGAAGCUAGUGAAUCAUAGAGGUUUGUUAAUACAGCACAUCUUGCCUUAUCCUCCAAAUAUUUUUUGAACUCUUGUGAUAUCCUAGGAACUUAGAAAGUACUUGCAUUUGUUAUCAUGUUUUCAUAACAACUCUUUGGGGAGCUGAGGUGAGCUGGAGAGAGGCUGAGGUACCUGGUGCGGGAGUCGUGGAUUAAAGCAUCAAGGAGUGAAAAUGAGAGUUAACGGAGGCGUUGGCAGGGGAGGCUGAAGACGUCAGCCCGAGGUCUCAGAAAAGGAGACUGAGGAAUGAGCACAGGCCUGAGGAAUGCAAGAGGACGCUGGUCGCCCUGCUGCAGAGCACAGUGCCGGGCACACACUGCCACUGAACUUCCAGCUUCCGGUUGUUGAAUGGGCUCGAGGCUAUAUUCAAGUUUCAACAAAAGCACAAAGAAAGAUUUGCAAAUAAAUGACAGUCAUCAGAGUAUUUCAGGACACCUGGAUCCACACAUCCUGUGAACCUUGUCCCCACCCUUGCCUGCAGGGGGAGGGGCGCCAUUGUUGGGGCCUGUGGCCAACUGGAGACAAUAAAGGAAAACCUGCAGUCACCGAAUCUGAGCAUCAGGGAAGCCCUUA